GUCCAAAUAGUGCGACCGAUGCGGUUCACCGAGUUCUCAGGCGGAUCCAUAGCCGAUGAACUGCUGGAAGAUCAAUGAGCUUGACGCAAAGUUUCUUCACCAUUCAGAGCAUUACAAGCACGUCUGCUUCUUUCUUAAAAAUAAAUAUAACAGCAGAACUUAAGUAUAAAGUUUCUUGUGGGCGUCCAGAGGAGAUGUAGAUUUCUAAAGAACUGUGAGCCAUCAAGAUGACGCUUCCUCCGCAGGCUCUGCAAAACACAAAACACAUGAUUUACCUGUCCAGGUGAGGUACGCAGGCAGCCGCAGUGCAGGAUGGAUCUCAGCACAACACAGACGCUCUUGAGCUCGCCGUCUUCUCGCUCCGUCUCUCUGGACAAGAGCUUGGAGACGGUUGUGCCUCCAGCAGCCCAGAGAACUUCCGCCGAGGGUUUUCCUCCAGAGAGAAGAACG